CUCUGCACAAGGUCACUGGAGAACAGGGGGGCAGUGGAGCUGAAGUGGAUUCCGAAAUGGUGAAUAACUACAGACGAGCCCGGACAUCCAGUUUGAUAUGCAGUAGAAGAGUCUACAAAAUAUCUGCAAAUAAUAGCUCCAUUUUUGAAAAAUGCAACUGUGGAUCAAACUAGAAUUAUUAGAGCUGUGAAUAAAAUAACAGAGAUUUUUCUGAAUGUGAAUUCCAGCUCAUGUGAGAAUGUAUUUGAACUCCUUCAAAUUAAUUUCCAGCUUCAACAAGAUAUUUCAAUUACAAAGGAUAUUACUUUGCUGAUCUGCUCGUUCUUU